GACGAACGCUGGCGGCGUGCCUAAUACAUGCAAGUCGAGCGCAGGGAACUGACGGAACUCUUCGGAGGGAAGGCAGGGGAAUGAGCGGCGGACGGGUGAGUAACACGUAAGGAACCUGCCUCAAGGAUUGGGAUAACUCCGAGAAAUCGGAGCUAAUGCCGGACAGGUCAUCGGACCGCAUGGUCCGUUGAUGAACGGCGCUCCGGCGUCACCUUGAGGUGGCCUUGCGGUGGAUUAGCUAGUUGGUGGGGUAACGGCCCACCAAGGCGACGAUGCAUAGCCGGCCUGAGAGGGUGAUCGGCCACACUGGGACUGAGACACGGCCCAGACUCCUACGGGAGGCAGCAGUAGGGAAUCUUCCACAAUGGACGAAAGUCUGAUGGAGCAACGCCGCGUGAGUGAUGAAGGUUUUCGGAUCGUAAAACUCUGUUGUAAGGGAAGAACACGUACGAGAGGGAAUGCUCGUACCUUGACGGUACCUUACGAGAAAGCCACGGCUAACUACGUGCCAGCCGCCGCCGUAAAAC
rnacentral:rRNA from 1 species